AAAUCUUUGGCAACACAUCUGAAGACUCCAAUGAACUUGAAACAUUUUAAAGACAGAUUAAUACGAAGGGGCCAGGAGCAAUAAUGAGGCCCAGCGUUGAGCACUUACAUAAUGUUUGUGUGAGCAGAGAGUCAGGAAUUGCAUCAACAUGGUAGUUGAGGUAAUGUGUGCAUGCGUGUGUGUGUGCAAGUGUGACUGAAGUGAUUUGUAGAUGGCAGUCUGAUGACAGAUUAUAUGCAUACAAUGUUUCAGAGCAUUUACUAUUAGCACAUUUUAAUUGGCAGCCUGUAAUCAAGUUCGUCAUUAUAGUUAUUUUCUGGCUAGGUUCCCUCGUUCUAAAGCAGGGGUGUCAAACUCAUUUUCACCGGGGGCCACAUCAUUAAUACAGUUCCCUUUAAAUGGUGUUUAAAUGGUUGUAAAUGGAAGGCUGUAUAUAUCAAUCUCUGGUCUGUGGACCAGUACCAGUCCGCAGGUCAUUUAGUACCUGGCUGCAGUGGGACACAGUGAAAAAAUGUUAAAUGUCUUUGCUAAUUUACAUCAUUCAAAGACAAUCCUGGCAUAUUCAUUUACUUUCUUUAUUUAAAGAUAAUCUGGCAAUAUUUUAAAAUAAUAGGCUAUGUGAAUCUGAUACAAAGAGAAUAGAGUCUGAAAGAUUUUGACCAGACAUUGGAACAACAAAGAUUGGGGACCGCUGGUAUAGAUGUAACUACUCCAUAACGGACUAAUACAUGUUUCGGCAAUUGAUUAUCAUUUGAUUGUUUAAAAAAAUAUAAAUAUUUCUUUGGUCAAGAAACUCUGCUGCAUGGGAUUUACUAAAUGCUUUUUAAGCCCCCACGGGCCACACAAAAUGGCUUGGCGUGCCGCAUUUGGCCCCUGUGCCUUUAGUUUAACACAUAUGUUCUAAAGCAUAGUCCAAUUUUUUUUAUCAUCAUUUUCUGUGUGUAAUGAUUAGCAGUGACCAAAAGAAGAAAAAACUGAAGCCAUGGUCAGGUGUCACCAGUGACAUUUUUGUCCCAAAUACAGGUUAAACCUGUAUGUCUCUCUCUGUUAUUUUAAUGUACGUCACUAUACAGGUGCAAAAGUGAUUAGGUCAGCUGUUUAGCAGAUGGUGGUGAAAGAUGGUGAAAGGUGAAAGAGCUCAGACUUCUCAGCCUAAGACUGUGACAGAUAAUGUGUUGAAUUGAAUAAUCAAACUUUUCAUGCUGCCUCAUAUAUACUUCUCCGUCCUCAAUAACUGUAUUUUUUGUCCAUAAUAAUCGCUCGGCUAUUGUCAGUCAAACAUCAUUAAUCACAUUAAGUGAAGAGUGAGGCGGACAGCAGCUGUUGAAAAUGCAACGAGGAUUUGUUGGUCCACACCCUUUUCAUGCAUUGCAAAUUUUUAUUUGCAAGGCAUGAUGGGAAACAUUUCCAUAGCUCAAGUGGGUCCAAAUGGAUGUAUUGAAAAAACAUUCAACUAAAAGGACUAUUUGGCUGUGUGUGUUUGUUUAUGUAUCAAACAUCAGAGGCUCAAUACUACAAGGAAAUGUUUUGGAUGUAAUUAAACCUUUAAAAAGGGGAACAUAAAUAAAAAUGUUCUGCUUUUUUAACAAGCAAAUGGGGGAAAGAAUAUUUAGUUGUUCCACUAACAAAGUUAUUUGAGUCAAGAUCUUAAAAGUUCCCUGAUUAGAUUGUGCACCUGUGUAUGUGUGUCUCUCCUGGGUUAAUUAGUUCCAUCACCCUCACCUGUGUCCUGUGAUUCUCUGGUCAUCAGCCUCACUCGUCUCACCUGGUGCCCUGGGUAUAAAUACACCUCUCUCGCUCUCUCACUUCUUUUGUUUGGUCAUUGCUGUGUGUUGGGCUUGUUCUGUGGUUUGUGUGUAGUUGAUUGUGCUUCAUGUUUUCCUUGAGGUUCUGUGACUGUUCCUGCAGUACUCUGGUUUCUGUGAGUUGAGAAAGAAUUAUCUGAAAGAAACUACCUUACACCUGAUCAAAGUUCCUCUGAGUGCUGCAUUUAAGUCCUUUGUCAACCUCCUAUGUAACUCCUGGGUUGUGGCCCACCAAGAACUGUGCUUUUAGGUCCAUUCAACAAUAUAAGUUUAGGCCGCUAGCGGGAACAGUUGGUAUCUGAUCCAGAAUGAUUCAGAAGUAUAAUCAAAGAAAAAUGUCACAUGAUGGUUAAUAACUACAUACGUAAAAUGUUUAGAUCUGGUAAACAACAUAAGGGAAGUUCAGUACUUCUUUCUUAGAGCACAUAAACAAAUGACACAUGUACUGUACUGGUCACAGUGUGUUUGCUUCUGUUCUGUGUUGUUCAUCUGUCAAUCAGUCCCAAUGCUUGUGUAAGUGGCCCCGGGAGUGUAUUAUUCCCAUCCAUCCCUUUGCUGUCUGAGCGCUCCACUGCGUCUGCACUGUGAGAACAGGAUAACAUACAGGCUUCUACGGCCUAAUGUGCCACUCCAGCAAUUCUGGAAUGUUCUGGAAAAAUGGAAUAAGUGAUUAAAACUGGCGUCUUUGCCAAAGAUCCGUGACACAGAGGUCUUUACAUGUAUGGUUCCAGUUCUUUAAAUUCAAAUUGUCUUGUAAUGUACAUACAAAUGAAGAGCAGUGUAAGGCUCUCCUAACUCCAACCCCAGACUUUUGUGUCCCAUUUUUUCUUUCUGUCCAGACAGAGGCAGAGCAGUGGUGACUAAAAAAAGAAAGGAUAUUGUAUUUAAGGACAUGCCUUUAAAUGUCAACCCCUGGCAAUAGACAGCAAAAGCAAAAUAAAUAAAUAAAUCCUACUGUAAAUCUCUACCACCCACAACGUCUAUUUCACUGUCAAAUGUUUUGUCCUAUCGUGCUGUUUUACACAACAUCUUGUCCAGUUUGUCUUUGAGUUUGUCCUCAAAUCAAAAGCUAUGAAAAGCCAGAGUCAAAUUCUUUGCAUGUGCACUCACACUUGGCCAAUAAGGUUGGUUUUGAGUCUGAAAUAUUCUUGACAUGUUUCCAAGAUUGUCUCAUGUAUUCUCCCUUUUGCGCUUCUUCUUUUUCUUCUUAUCCUGACUACAGUUGUUCCCUUCAGGGGUCACCACAGCAGAUCAUCUCACCCUGCCUCCUCAGCACCACCCAUUAACCUCCUCUGAGGUCUUCACAUCCACAUUUUGUCUGGCAGCUUCAUCUCCAACAUCCUUUGUACAAUUUAUCCACCAUCUCUCCUCAACACAUCUCCACCUCUCCUCCCUAUCACAAUCAGUUUUUUUCUCAUUUCUUAAUUAACCCAAAAGUUGUACGGUGUGGCUUAUAAAUACUUGAGUUUUAGUAAAGUUGAUUUCCUCACCAAAAACCUCUAUAAACAGACAUCUGAGCUGUGCUGAUAUCCAGUUAGGAAGUACUGCCUUGGAGAUAACGUCCAAGCUGCUGUCUCACAUGCAUGUGUGUACAGCUGAUUGGCUUCCAUAUACUCAAAUAUGAGAGUGCAGUCUUCACACCUCCCUCCUUAUGUUUCACUGAAAGCAGGAGGUUGAUCCUAUUAGGACACGGUUAAUUUAUUUUACGUAGCAGUAGCAAGACCCUCUCUCUGUUGCCCCUCUUCAAACUACUUUAAUUGUAUCUAUUUAACACAGCAAGAUUGGAGCUAAGAGUGUGAGGCUCUUUGUUUUCCACAUGGAUGCCACAUUGGACUUUCUCCCUCCUUAAUCCCUUCCCUACAUCCCUCCCUCCUGCAUAAUCCUGUGCAGCAGUCCAAGAGCGGGGAUUAUACGAUGCUGAGAAUCUAAUGAUAAAGAUGAUGGAGCAGCGGCAGAGAGCUGCGGGUCACUACGUGAAGCACAUGGCGGACUUAUGCUCAAACACACAUGGAGAUUGCACGUGUGCAUUGCACAACACACAGAAAUAGAAUAAAAAUAUAUAAAAGUUUAAUUGAAAAUGUACAGACGUAGUAUAAAGCAGUCGUUUUAGAGAAAGCCAACAGUGAUGGAAAAAAAACUUUUCCAGGAUAUACAAUAGUCUUUUUGUUUCCACAUGAAAACAACCAAUGAGUUCCGCUUCAUUUGUGACCCAGACUUGAAGGCUUCAUUUUUAUACCCAAGUCUCAUCCUGCAGUAGGAGGAGUGAGACAGUCUGUAAGGACUUCAGAUGGGGAGACUUCCAUGACUGGACUGGAAUGUUUGACCAAGCUUAGACACAGUCAAUUCCAGGCCUCUAGGCCAAAGACAGAGUUUUUCCUUCAUGCUAGAUAAUUGUGGCUGCACAACAUGAAAAAAAUAAAUCAAUAUAUUACAAAUGUUGGACAUCAACAAUAAAACAAAAUAUUAAACUCUUGCAUCUGGCUAAAAAACGGAGCAUGUAGCUUCAAAUGUUUCUGGAAUACCAUCCUUUUUUUAAUAUUAUAAAAUACAUCAAUUAAAAAUAUUUUCAACCAAAAGGUAUGUUUUAUAUGGGUAAUAGACAAGUUGAUGACCUGUUAUACACACCCACCUAAUUUAAUAUUAUUCUCAUCAGGCAAACCUUUUUUGCCACAGAAAUAGGUCAAAGAGAAAAUGCGCACAAAGGGCAGCAUCACGGCAGUUAACCACGCUACACUGCUAAUGACAAAUUCACAUUCUUGAGAAUAACACUUUCUAAAAUCUGUGAAAAUGUAUAUAUAUUUCAUUAUCAUCCACCUUAUACAUUCCCAACAAUAAGUCAACUAUUUUAAAGCAUAACAUUUGUUUCGCAUGCCAGCAUUAAAUUAAUAUUUAUCUUUUUUUUCAUCAAGGGACAAAUAUUCUUAUUCCAUACAGAAACAAACCAUUUAUCAAGGGAUUAAUGUUUUAUCAAGGGUGUCUGUCCACUCCCUGGCAAGCAAAAUCAGGAGGAAACUGCGUGUUUACUUUUUUAUAAUCAAUGAAACAUCCUCCAAUGUUAUACAUGUAAUAUACUGUGUAUAUAUAUAUAUAUAUAUAUAUAUAUAUAUAUAUAUAUAUAUAUAUAUGGACAGCCAAGCCAAGCCAUCUGUGGAAAAGUCCUCCGAAAUAAUCGAAUCAACAUUUUCAGCCUUUUUUCAGGCCAGGAAGUUUGAAGCGAGUGUAACUUCCUGGAGACCCUCGCCACACCCGUCACUACCCAGCGCUGCUUUGUUCUCUGCGAACAGGGGAUAUGACCGUGUGUUUGUGUGCAUGUCUGCGUAUGUGUGUGAAUGUGCAACCCUAGCACAGGUCACAUCAGGGUCAGCUGGUCUAUUAUUGAUUUCCCAGCGGAAAGGGAAUGAGAACAGCUCUGCUGUGUUGCUGCCCUGCUUGACUCAGCCAGCUUUGAAUUGACUGGAGCGUGUGUCUGUCAAUACAUACAGUAUAUGCCAGUAAAUAACAAACCCAGUAAAGUGUUUUCAAUAAUAACCACCUUUUGAACAGAUGCUGAUAACGAGGUGUUUAAUGACCGCUGUAAACGACUUAUCAUCUCCUCUCUAAACCAAACAAAGCCUGCAGCACAACAUUUUAACAGCUGAUAUGUGACCACCAUCGGGUCCUCAGAGACAACUCUGCUCCACUUUAUUUUUAAAGCUGUAAAAGGAAUCCGGCAAAAUUAUGUAGGUGGCCAAAGAAUCUGAACUCAGUUUGGUGGGAAAAUCCUUUAUUAUUAUUGUAUCUUGCUCAUCAGUUUUCAGCGUGCGUCUGAAUAGAUCUCACAGGGGGCAGUAAUGCCACAAAGCUGACCUCACAAAGCUAUAAAACAAACAUUCUGUUGUUACAUAUCACAAUUUAAAAGUUAUUUGGGGCCAGUAAGUUUUGGUAUGAUUCUCAAACGUGUAGUUGUAAUUAUCCUUUGGCCUGCUUGUUUGGAAUUACUCAGGGGCUCAUAAAUGUCUUUUAAGACAUCUAUUUCUUAAAUUCCCUGAACAUCUUCUCGUCUACAAAUCUAAAUAAAAUAAUUUAUUGGAUUUAUUUGAAGCUAUUAUAAUGAACUGAAUUAAAGAAAAAAACUCACUGUUUGACAUUUCUGUGAAUUAACACUUCCAUGUCCAUUGACACGUUAAACAGGCAGUGUUUGUCACAGAAGUUUGACCUUCAAACAAAGUCUGACAAAGAUCCCAGUGAGAUUAAGAUGAAACCCAAAACCUUUCUCUACCUUGUCAAAGCUUUGUGUGUUUUACUGAACCUGAGUGUAAACAAAGAGGAUUGGGUUUUUUUGAAAACACCUCUGUAUACAAAAGGAAACAAUGGACUUUUCUUUUCUCUUACAUACAUUUAAAAGCUUAAAUCAUUCUCAGGUCUUUUCAAAUAUAUAUUAUCUUUUGUAGCAUUUGUUAUAAAAGUAUUAUGAUUUAAAAAAAAAUGUGAUGCCAAAGGUGGAAUAAAUACUGUGCACAAAGUAAAUGAUGCAUGUGACACCAUUUGAUGGAAGGAGAUUUGUUUGCUCAUCCAUUACUCAGCAUUUUAUCACUCAGCCGGCUAUCUUCACCCUACUUACAAACACAUACUCUUCUUAUUUACAUACUGUCACCUCUUUGCGUUAAAUAUUUGUCUACACAGAUUAUAACAAUCUUCAGUUUAAAUUCCUAACGCAUUCCUCAUUGACUAUCCUGGUCCUUUUUCCUGGGGCAAUGGAGAAAAGAGGGUCACAGCUUUAUCUACACUCCACACAAGGUAUUUACUGCUUCAAGGAAAUAGGCACAUAAAAAUGCUUUCUUUAAACAGGUAAUUAUUUUUGGAAUAAUAGGCAAGUUACAAAUUCUGAGCUAAGCACUAGAUUAUACAGAGCUUUAUGGAAAUUCUAGAUGAGAAUGGGGGGGAAAACUGCUUAUCUUCAUUAGUGUUCAUGGUGUAUGAAUGUAAAAAUGGCCACAGAUCUGCUGUCAUUUCUGUUGGUUUCAUCAAAAUCCAAUCUGGCUCUGGAGAAUAAAGGCAAAACAAAGGCCUCACAAGGGUGUGGAGGAAUAUUAAUAGACCGUAAUAGACUGGUGGGUAAACACUGAGCAAGCCAUGAUAGAAUGGAUGUGUUUGUGUGUGUGUGUGUGUACGGUGUGGCUUGGCACAGACACAUUCCAGUGGCAGCCUGAAGGGCUGCUAAUCCACUUAGAUGUCAAAGGUCUCCUGAACUCCAGGGCAAGGAUUUGGACUAGAUUUAAUACACACCUUACACACAUGAGUUUUUAUUUCAGUCAUUAUUAGCCUGACUCUAAAGAUUCCAUUUAUCCAUAUUCUCGAGGACAGAUAGAGAGAGAUAGAGAGAGAUAGAGAGAGGGGCCACCGGUCUAGACAUUUGACUGUGUCACCUGGUCUGUCUCUGUGCAUCUGCACUUUAUCUAUCUCAAUUUAUCUGUUUCCCUUUUUUAUCUUUUGCAAUCACUGGACAGUAAUCAAUGAAGAGCACAAAUAUUUUAGGCAUGUCGUUUGGACCAGCACAGCGGCGACUAUCAAACGAUCUCCGACAAACACAGACUUUAGCAGAAGCUGUACCAUCAUCACAGGUCUCUGACCCCGAAAAGUCACGGGGAGUCUGGAGAAAUCUCUCUGCAUAAACUGUAGCAAAGUGAACGGGCUUGUUUUCCCUGUAAUUUAAUUUUUUACCAGCUCAGUGCCAUGCCUCAGUCUAAACUAAUUACACAACGUUGCUAGACGUAGAGUCCAUAGGCCUGACUGGCCUGCAUGCAGUCCAGAUUGGUUGCUUGGUUGAGGUUGACUCUGGGUGUCGCUUGCAUUUUACUCAGUAUAUCUCACUUGAAGUCAAGCCUGUAUCACGUGUAUGUUUGUCGUCCAAGGUUAAAUGGAAAGCAUAUGUACUUUGGAAUGGCUUUGUAAUAAUGACUGUCUGCGAAGUCCUAAAAAUAUUAACAGGUCACAGUCACAGUCACAGUCUGUUCCUAUAAUCUAGUACAUGUGGAAUGAUGUGUGUACAUGGUGGUGGUGCAAAUAUGUCACGUACAAAACAAACAAUCAUGUGUUCGAUCUUUAGAUCAAGGCAAUUUGUUUGAUCAACUCUUUAGUAUAAAAUGGAACACAACAUAAUGGGAAUUUACCAGUAAAACUUAGACCCAGUAGGGGGCAGUAGUGAAAUCUACAGCUGCAGAACUACCAUUAAAACAAAGAGAAGGAAAGAGCAAGUUAGCUGGCAUCUAAAACAGACAAUGACUAGUCUACAAAUCACAAUAAAAAUGUAUGUAUACAAACAGUCAUCAAAAGUAAAAUGCAUAUUUCCUUCUAGAGAAGGAAUAUUCUGUUCUUUACACUUUUUCAACACUGGCACAUGGAGCAAAACGUGUUGUUAUAGUCCUUUACAUCUAUGAGGUCAGACUUCUGCACUUCACCAUGACAAGACUGACAUCCUGCCCACAUGCCUGUCACACAAACGGCCAGAAAACAUGCCUAACCUCUUGUUGACCCAGCUUACCAACUCCCCUCACUUUCCCCACCACAAGAGAAACUUCUCGGGAUGAAGUCAUGAGGAAAACAAGGGCAGGAGCUGGAGCUCUAAAUCAAACUCUGUAAAACAUCAAGAGCACAUAUUUAGUUCAGUCUUGGGAGAACAACUUCUGCCUGUGGAAGCACAUUUCCCACAACAAACGGUGGAGAAGCUCCUCCCAGGACUUUCUCCUCUCCAUCUUUCUCCUGCUUUGUUUUCUUCUCUGUCCGUCUCCAUAAAAAGACAAGUCUUGAGGAGGGCGGACCUCUCUUUCAGUGUUGAUAGUAAAAGUGCCUCUCCCUGACUGCAUCGGGGAAGAAAAAUGAGUUGACAGGCUGUGUUGUCAUGACAAGCCAAAGGUGUUGGUUUUCCUUUUUCCUGCCAAGUGGGAAUGGUGGUCCCUAUGCAAUACCAAGUGUCCUACAUGGUACUGGAGUCAAGAAGCUUAACGUUAAACAACAGUUACUCGAGAAACCAGCAAUUUACCCAGAAAGUUUAAUUUGUGCGAGUAAAGCUGAAACAAUUGUCCCAGCAUUCCUGGUAAUCACACUUCUGUGAACAAAAUGUCCACUUCUGCAAAGUUCGCACUCUGCUUAGGAAAACACGUGAGAUCAGUGUAAAUAAACACGCCGUGCUGAUGACUCAGGAGCCAUAUGGCUAGUUAAUACCGCCCGCCCCCACACACACACAUGCAUGGUUGUUUAUUAAAGUUUCUUGCACUAAGGAUGGAACUUCAGGAGUGUUUUUACUCCAACUCCGUCAACAGAAUUCCUUUUGUGAAACAUAUGACUGUAGGGCUUGCUCCCUUCCUGAGCUGUUUGUACUAGGAGCAGCAGGGGAGUAAAACAAACACGGCUCCAGUGAUAGAUCAAGGUCACACAUCAGCAGGUAAGACAAGGACACAGUUUUAUGAAAACGUUCAGUGUUGAGUUGGGUUAUUAUUUAUUUUUUAUUUUUUAAAAUAAAUGAUGCCACCAUUGCCAAAAGUCAAGAAAUGGAAGGAGAGCUGGUAUUUGCCCCAACAGGUAGCUAUUAUGGGGGCUGCACUGGUCUUUGCCUUUCAGGCGAAAACCACAGCUGUUUGGUCAGUGAUGAGAGACAACUCCCAGGGACAAAAGAAACAAUUUGAGAAAGGAGAAAAAAGGUGUUGAACUCUGACAUGGAUUUCACAGGAAAGAAUGUGUACAAAGGAAAAGCAGAGGCCAAACCCACUUGUCUUAAUUCUCCACACUGUCCUGAGGGCCAAUGGAUGUGCAGAUGGGGAGCGAGGGGGCAGGUGGUGUGUGGAAGUGUGGAUGUGGAAGUCAGAAAAUUCUUGGUAUGGCUCCAGCAGGACUGUAUGGCUUUUCAUCCACACAGCACCUCAUUUAAGACCCGGGCUUUAAGACACUGACAGUCCAGAACUGAGGGAUGGGGGGGGAGGACUUUUGUUGCAUAACCUGUUUUAUAUAACAACAGUACUAAGAACUGGGUUAUGUCCUACUUGUAUUUUUGAAAAAUAUGGGCUUUUAAUUUCUGAAAAGUAUAUUUGGCACCAAGAAAAUAUCUACUAAUUUUAAUUAUUGGAAGAAUGGUCACACACGCAGGUUAGUUUUAUAAUACACCUGUGGCUAUGCUGCAGUUUUAACACUGCUUAGUAUGAGAUGAAGUAUAUUUUACUGUGAUAUUUGUUGUGAUAUUUGUUGUCUCUGCUUACAUGUCCUUGUUAAUGUACUGUAUGUUUAUCUUCUGGUGUCUAAAGAUCUUCUUUGCAUUACUCCAUCUGAUUUCUAGCUCUGUUAGGCUACUUGGAUAAGAGGCAUUCUCAGCUGUGGCAGCACAUGAACGUCUUUGACAAAUGUACAACAGCAGAAAACUAAGCAAAUAAUAUGUUAUUGUACGUAUAUGUGUGUGAAAAAACUGAAAAAAUAAGAUAUAGAACUGUACAAAUCAACGUAUACAUAUCUUGUAGAAAUCUGCGCCAUUUCCUCCUGCUAGCACAUUUAUUAGUCGAAAGUUGCAAAAUUGCAUAAAAAUGCAAAACAGACUGUUUAACUACGAUUCCUUAUUCCUUGAUUGUAAUAAUAGCUAUAAUAAUAUACGACCUAUUCUUUGCACAUUUUUGCAUUUAUUUUUUAAAUAUUUCAAACAGUUAAAAAAAAAUACAAAUUUUCUGUUUGCUGGACAAAUGAAUUCCCAUACCAGCAGGUAUGUGUAUGUGUAUGUGUGUGUGCGUGUGAUUGAGUGUGUUUGUCAUGUCAGCAGCCUACCUCGCUGAGCCUGCAUGUUUUCAUCACCUGCCCCGCUGUGACGUCACCACCAACUG